AACGAACGCUGGCGGCAUGCCUAACACAUGCAAGUCGAACGAGACCUUCGGGUCUAGUGGCGCACGGGUGCGUAACGCGUGGGAACCUGCCUUUAGGUUCGGAAUAACUCAGAGAAAUUUGAGCUAAUACCGGAUAAUGUCUUCGGACCAAAGAUUUAUCGCCUUUAGAUGGGCCCGCGUUGGAUUAGCUAGUUGGUGGGGUAAAGGCCUACCAAGGCGACGAUCCAUAGCUGGUCUGAGAGGAUGAUCAGCCACACUGGGACUGAGACACGGCCCAGACUCCUACGGGAGGCAGCAGUGGGGAAUAUUGGACAAUGGGCGAAAGCCUGAUCCAGCAAUGCCGCGUGAGUGAUGAAGCCUUAGGGUUGUAAAGCUCUUUACCCGAGAUGAUAAUGACAGUAUCGGAGAAUAAGCUCCGGCUAACUCCGUGCCAGCAGCCGCGGUAAUGUGUGACUGU
rnacentral:rRNA from 1 species